GAUUAUGGCUCAGGAUGAACGCUAGCUACAGGCUUAACACAUGCAAGUCGAGGGGCAGCAUUGGAGUAGCAAUACUCAGAUGGCGACCGGCGCACGGGUGAGUAACACGUAUCCAACCUGCCGCUUACUCGGGGAUAGCCUUUCGAAAGAAAGAUUAAUACCCGAUGGUAUAAAGAGUUCGCAUGUUCUCUUUAUUAAAGAAUUUCGGUAAGCGAUGGGGAUGCGCUCCAUUAGAUAGUUGGCGGGGUAACGGCCCACCAAGUCUACGAUGGAUAGGGGUUCUGAGAGGAAGGUCCCCCACAUUGGAACUGAGACACGGUCCAAACUCCUACGGGAGGCAGCAGUGAGGAAUAUUGGUCAAUGGACGAGAGUCUGAACCAGCCAAAAGUAGCGUGAAGGAUGACUGCCCUAUGGGUUGUAAACUUCUUUUAUAAGGGAAUAAAGUGAGGGACGUGUCCCUUUUUGUAUGUACCUUAUGAAUAAGGAUCGGCUAACUCCGUGCCAGCCGCCGC
rnacentral:rRNA from 1 species